GCGGGACGGGGCGCCCCGGGACGCGGUGGGCUGGCUGCUCGCCACCGCCCGCCGCCGGGCGAUCGACCUGUUCCGCCGCCGGUCGGCCCGCG
rnacentral:tRNA from 1 species